UGAUAGGUUCCUAGGAUGUAACUCGGUC
rnacentral:piRNA from 1 species